AACGGAUAUCUCGGCUCUCGCAUCGAUGAAGAACGUAGCGAAAUGCGAUACUUGGUGUGAAUUGCAGAAUCCCGUGAACCAUCGAGUCUUUGAACGCAAGUUGCGCCCAAAGCCAUUAGGCCGAGGGCACGUCUGYCUGGGCGUCACACA
rnacentral:rRNA from 1 species